rnacentral:rRNA from 1 species
UACGUAGGGGUCCGAGCGUUGUCCGGAAUUAUUGGGCGUAAAGGGCUCGUAGGCGGUUUGUCGCGUCGGGAGUGAAAACCGUACAGCUUAACUGUGGGCUUGCUUUCGAUACGGGCAGACUUGAGGCAUGCAGGGGAGAACGGAAUUCCUGGUGUAGCGGUGAAAUGCGCAGAUAUCAGGAGGAACACCGGUGGCGAAGGCGGUUCUCUGGGAAUGUCCUGACGCUGAGGAGCGAAAGUGUGGGGAGCGAACAGG